rnacentral:rRNA from 1 species
AUUGAACGCUGGCGGCAGGCCUAACACAUGCAAGUCGGACGGUAGCACAGAGAGCUUGCUCUUGGGUGACGAGUGGCGGACGGGUGAGUAAUGUCUGGGGAUCUGCCCGAUAGAGGGGGAUAACCACUGGAAACGGUGGCUAAUACCGCAUAACGUCGCAAGACCAAAGAGGGGGACCUUCGGGCCUCUCACUAUCGGAUGAACCCAGAUGGGAUUAGCUAGUAGGCGGGGUAAUGGCCCACCUAGGCGACGAUCCCUAGCUGGUCUGAGAGGAUGACCAGCCACACUGGAACUGAGACACGGUCCAGACUCCUACGGGAGGCAGCAGUGGGGAAUAUUGCACAAUGGGCGCAAGCCUGAUGCAGCCAUGCCGCGUGUAUGAAGAAGGCCUUCGGGUUGUAAAGUACUUUCAGCGGGGAGGAAGGCGGUGAGGUUAAUAACCUUGCCGAUUGACGUUACCCGCAGAAGAAGCACCGGCUAACUCCGUGCCAGCCGCCGCAGUAA